UACGGGGGGGGUAAGCGUUGUUCGGAAUUACUGGGCGUAAAGAGCGUGUAGGCGGCCAGAUAAGUCCGCUGUGAAAUCUCGAGGCUCAACUUCGAGCUGUCGGUGGAAACUAUCUGGCUAGAGUCCGGAAGAGGAGAAUGGAAUUCCUGGUGUAGCGGUGAAAUGCGCAGAUAUCAGGAAGAACACCCGUGGCGAAGGCGGUUCUCUGGGACGGUACUGACGCUGAGACGCGAAAGCGUGGGGAGCGAACAGG
rnacentral:rRNA from 1 species